UUUUCGUAUAUGUAAGAUUAGGUUUUCUAUCAAUUUUGGGCAGGAAUCGGCAUAUCGGAGGAUCCAGGUUUUAAUUUUUAUUUUUUUAACAUCUGAUAAAUUAUGCUAUUACAACGAUGAGAAUAUUACAAAGACGAUUUUACAGCCGACAAUUCUACCACCAUAUGAGAAUACACGUCUGACUGCACUACUCCGAACCGUCCUAUGAGAUCUAUGUUCGAUGGUCUGCUCUGCACCAAGCUGAAGAUCUCUUGUAAAUUGUUUCUCCAUAAUCUGCAUAAUUUGGUAUUUUCUGGGGUUUGAACCCCAGACUUCUGGGUGUAGAAGCAUUAAUGAACCUUUAGUCAAACCAGUGGACCAAGGG
rnacentral:lncRNA from 1 species